rnacentral:rRNA from 1 species
UACGAAGGGGGCUAGCGUUGCUCGGAAUUACUGGGCGUAAAGCGCGCGCAGGCGGUCUUCCAAGUCAGUGGUGAAAGCCUGGAGCUCAACUCCAGAACUGCCAUUGAAACUGUUAGACUUGAGUACGAGAGAGGUGAGUGGAAUUCCCAGUGUAGAGGUGAAAUUCGUAGAUAUUGGGAAGAACACCAGUGGCGAAGGCGGCUCACUGGCUCGUAACUGACGCUCAGGCGCGACAGCGUGGGGAGCAAAAAGG